AUUGAACGCUGGCGGCAUGCCUUACACAUGCAAGUCGAACGGCAGCACGGGGGCAACCCUGGUGGCGAGUGGCGAACGGGUGAGUAAUACAUCGGAAUGUACCCAGUAGUGGGGGAUAACUAGUCGAAAGAUUAGCUAAUACCGCAUACGCACUAUGGUGGAAAGCGGGGGAUCGCAAGACCUCGCGCUAUUGGAGCAGCCGAUGUCCGAUUAGGUAGUUGGUGGGGUAAAAGCCUACCAAGCCUGCGAUCGGUAACUGGUCUGAGAGGACGACCAGUCACACUGGGACUGAGACACGGCCCAGACUCCUACGGGAGGCAGCAGUGGGGAAUUUUGGACAAUGGGGGAAACCCUGAUCCAGCAAUGCCGCGUGUGUGACGAAGGCCUU
rnacentral:rRNA from 1 species